rnacentral:rRNA from 1 species
GACGAACGCCGGCGGCGUGCUUAACACAUGCAAGUCGAACGGAAAGGCCCUUCGGGGUACUCGAGUGGCGAACGGGUGAGUAACACGUGGGUGAUCUGCCCUGCACUUUGGGAUAAGCCUGGGAAACUGGGUCUAAUACCGAAUAGGACCACGCGCUUCAUGGUGUGUGGUGGAAAGCUUUUGCGGUGUGGGAUGGGCCCGCGGCCUAUCAGCUUGUUGGUGGGGUAAUGGCCUACCAAGGCGACGACGGGUAGCCGGCCUGAGAGGGUGACCGGCCACACUGGGACUGAGAUACGGCCCAGACUCCUACGGGAGGCAGCAGUGGGGAAUAUUGCACAAUGGGCGCAAGCCUGAUGCAGCGACGCCGCGUGAGGGAUGAUGGCCUUCGGGUUGUAAACCUCUUUCAAUAGGGACGAAGCGCAAGUGACGGUACCUAUAGAAGAAGCACCGGCCAACUACGUGCCAGCAGCCGCGGUAAUACGUAGGGUGCGAGCGUUGUCCGGAAUUACUGGGCGUGAAGAGCUCGUAGGUGGUUUGUCGCGUUGUUCGUGAAAACUCACAGCUUAACUGUGGGCGUGCGGGCGAUACGGGCAGACUAGAGUACUGCAGGGGAGACUGGAAUUCCUGGUGUAGCGGUGGAAUGCGCAGAUAUCAGGAGGAACACCGGUGGCGAAGGCGGGUCUCUGGGCAGUAACUGACGCUGAGGAGCGAAAGCGUGGGGAGCGAACAGGAUUAGAUACCCUGGUAGUCCACGCCGUAAACGGUGGGUACUAGGUGUGGGUUCCUUCCUUGGGAUCCGUGCCGUAGCUAACGCAUUAAGUACCCCGCCUGGGGAGUACGGCCGCAAGGCUAAAACUCAAAGGAAUUGACGGGGGCCCGCACAAGCGGCGGAGCAUGUGGAUUAAUUCGAUGCAACGCGAAGAACCUUACCUGGGUUUGACAUGCACAGGACGCCGGCAGAGAUGUCGGUUCCCUUGUGGCCUGUGUGCAGGUGGUGCAUGGCUGUCGUCAGCUCGUGUCGUGAGAUGUUGGGUUAAGUCCCGCAACGAGCGCAACCCUUGUCCUAUGUUGCCAGCGGGUUAUGCCGGGGACUCGUAGGAGGCUGCCGGGGUCAACUCGGAGGAAGGUGGGGAUGACGUCAAGUCAUCAUGCCCCUUAUGUCCAGGGCUUCACACAUGCUACAAUGGCCGGUACAAAGGGCUGCGAUGCCGUGAGGCGGAGCGAAUCCUUUCAAAGCCGGUCUCAGUUCGGAUCGGGGUCUGCAACUCGACCCCGUGAAGUCGGAGUCGCUAGUAAUCGCAGAUCAGCAACGCUGCGGUGAAUACGUUCCCGGGCCU